rnacentral:rRNA from 1 species
UCGGGAAUUUUGGGCAAUGGGCGAAAGCCUGACCCAGCAACGCCGCGUGAAGGAUGAAGUAUUUCGGUAUGUAAACUUCGUAAGAAUAGGAAGAAUAAAUGACGGUACUAUUUGUAAGGUCCGGCUAACUACGUGCCAGCAGCCGCGGUAAUACGUAGGGACCAAGCGUUGUUCGGAUUUAUUGGGUUUAAAGGGUGCGUAGGCGGUUUAUUAAGUCAGUGGUGAAAGACGGUCGCUCAACGAUUGCAGUGCCAUUGAUACUGGUAGACUUGAGUAUGAUUGAGGUAGCUGGAAUGGAUAGUGUAGCGGUGAAAUGCAUAGAUAUUAUCCAGAACACCAAUUGCGUAGGCAAGUUACUAAGUCAUAACUGACGCUGAGGCACGAAAGUGUGGGUAUCAAACAGGAUUAGAUACCCCUGUAGUCCCUGAGCGGGCUGGCAAGGCGCAU